rnacentral:rRNA from 1 species
UCGGCUUCUGCUCUGGGAUGGGCCCGCGCCGGAUUAGCUUGUUGGUGAGGUAACGGCUCACCAAGGCGACGAUCCGUAGCUGGUCUGAGAGGACGAUCAGCCACACCGGGACUGAGACACGGCCCAGACUCCUACGGGAGGCAGCAGUGGGGAAUCUUGCGCAAUGGGCGAAAGCCUGACGCAGCAACGCCGCGUGAGCGAAGACGGCCUUCGGGUUGUAAAGCUCUGUCAGGAGGGACGAAGCCACUCAGGUGAAUAGCCGAGAGGGUGACGGUACCUCCAGAGGAAGCCCCGACUAACUACGUGCCAGCAGCCGCGGUAAUACGUAGGGGGCUAGCGUUGUCCGGAAUCAUUGGGCGUAAAGCGCGUGUAGGCGGCUUGCCAAGUCCGAUGUGAAAGCUCGGGGCUUAACCCCGAGUCUGCAUUGGAAACUGGCUUCCUUGAGUCCGGAAGAGGAGACUGGAAUUCCUGGUGUAGCGGUGAAAUGCGCAGAUAUCAGAAGAACACCGGUGGCGAAAGCGGGUCUCUGGGACGGUACUGACGCUGAGACGCGAAAGCGUGGGGAGCAAACAGGA